UUCGAUCCUGGCUCAGAUUGAACGCUGGCGGAUGUUUACACAUGCAAGUCGAACGGCAACACGGACUUCGGUCUGGUGGCGAGUGGCGAACAGGUGAGCGUAUCCGGAACGUGCCUAAAUGGCGGGGAUAACUACGCGAAAGCGCCAGCUAAUACCGCACAUACGCCCUUCGAAGGGGGAAAGCGGGGGACCUUCGGGCCUCGCACUAUUAGAGCGGCCGAUAUCGGAUUAGCUAGUUGGUGGGGUAACGGCUCACCAAGGCGGCAAAUCCAUGCUUCGGUUUGAAGGACAAACCAGCCACACUGGGACUGAGACACGGCCCAGACUCCACAGGAGGCAGCAGUGAAAUUUGGACCGUGGAAACCCUGAUCCAGCCAUCCGCGUGUGCGAUGAAGGCCUUCAGGUUGUAAACACUUUUUUGGCAGGAAAGAAACGGCGCGGGAUAAUACCCCGUGCAACUGACAGUACCUGCAGAAUAAGCACCGGCUAACUACGUGCCAGCAGCCGCGGUAAUACGUAAGGAAUUAUAAGCGUUAAUCAGAUGCGAAUAAAGCGUGCUGCUGAGCGGUUCAGGAAAGAAAGAUCAUAGAAAUCCCAGGCUUAACUUUGGAACUGCAUUUUUAACUACCGAGCUAGAGUGUGUCAGAGGAGGUGGAAUUCCGCGUGUAGCAGUGAAAUGCGUAGAUAUGCGGAGGAACACCGAUGCUGGCGAAGGCAGCCUCCUGGGAUAACACUGACGCUCAUGCACGAAAGCGAUGGGGAACAAACAGGAUUAGAUACCCUGGUAGUCCACCCUAAAACGAUGUCAACUAGCUGUUGGGGCCUUCGGGCCACUUCGUAGCGCAGCUAACGCGUGAAGUUGACCGCCUGGAGUGAUCGCAAGAUUAAAACUCAAAGGAAUUGACGAAAGGGACCCGCACAAGCGGUGGAUGAUGUGGAUUAAUUCGAUGCAGCAUGAAAAACCUUACCUACCCUUGACAUGUCUGGAAUCCCGAAGAGAUGCAGGGUGCUCGCAGAACCGGAACACGAGUGCUGCAUGGCUGUCGUCAGCUCGUGUCGUGAGAUGUUGGGUUAAGUCCCGCAACGAGCGCAACCCUUGUCAUUAAUUGCUACGAAAGGAGCCUCUAAUGAGAUUACUUGGUGACAAAACCCGGAGGAAGGUGAGGAUGACGUCAAGUCCUCAUGGCCCUUAUGGGUGGGGGCUUCACACGUCAUACAAUGGUCGGGACAGAGGUCGCCAACCCGCGAGGGAGUCAAUCCCAGAAACCCGAUCGUAGUCCGGAUCGCAGUCUGCAACUCGACUAGUAAGUCGGAAUCGCUAUUAAUCGCGGAUCAGCAUGUCGCGGUGAAUACGUUCCCGGUCUUAGCCACCACCGCCCGUCUCAUGGGAGUGGGUUUUACCAGAAGUAGUUAGCCUAACCGUAAGGAGGGCGAUUACCACGGUAGGAUUCAUGACUGGGGUGAAGUCCGUAACAAAGUAG
rnacentral:rRNA from 1 species